rnacentral:rRNA from 1 species
GCAAAACGCGAAGAACCUUACCUAGGCUUGACAUGCAUCUCUAAGCACGUGAAAGCGUGUGACCCUUCGGGGAAUUUGCACAGGUGCUGCAUGGCCGUCGUCAGCUCGUGUCGUGAGAUGUUGGGUUAAGUCCCGCAACGAGCGCAACCCUUGUGACUAGUUGCCAGCACGUUAUGGUGGGAACUCUAGUCAGACUGCCCAGAUCAACUGGGAGGAAGGUGGGGACGACGUCAGGUCAGUAUGGCCCUUACGCCUAGGGCUGCACACGUACUACAAUGCCCAGCACAAUGAGAACCGAGACCGCGAGGUGGAGGAAAUCUAAAAAACUGGGCCCAGUUCGGAUUGGAGGCUGCAACUCGCCUCCAUGAAGUUGGAAUCGCUAGUAAUGGCGCAUCAUCUAUGGCGCCGUGAAUACGUUCCCGGGUCUUGUACACACCG